UUUCCCGAUUUAUUUCUUUUUCGUCUCUCUCUCUCGGUUGCGAUUGAAUUGACGAAACAAACGAUGAAUUUGGAAUCAGAAGCUUGAAGGUUUUGAAUCGAAUGACCUGGAAUCAGAGGAAGUGUAUUGAUUCGAAGGGAAUGGAGGGAAAGAGAUAAGUAGCAAAGGCGAUUUGGAAGCCAAUCGCCAAAGAAAGAAUCGACUAACAGUUGGAGAUGGAUGCGGUAUGAAGUUGGAGUCGAUUAAAUAGGUAGAGAGAUUGAAUCAAUUGGAAUCAGAAAGGUGGUGAGUUGUUUGAUAGGAUCGUCAAGAGAGGUCAUUACAGUGAGAGAGAAGCUGCUAAGCUUAUCAAGACUAUUGUUCGGGUCGUUGAGGCUUGUCCUCUCUGUUUUCUGCAAACCAGGUGUUGGUUCUAUCGGGUAGACGUAAGGGUAGUUUUGGGAAUCUUGUUGAGAAAGAUUUGGAUAAGGAAACUUGUUUGCGAUGCUGAUAGGCAGGAGAUGCUUAAUGUUAAACUUGAACAAGUCGCCGAGUACAUGGGUGAUCCAGCUGAUAUUGGCAAGCAGUAAAGAGAAAGCAACAAGGUUGAGGAGGGCGGGUGUAUCCCGACAGCUUCCUGUAUCUCCUGAACGGUCAAACCUAGUCUCGAGGUUGCUCAUUGGCCAAGACAUCAUCCCUGAGCGGGUUAUAAUCUUGGUGAAGAAAGCAACAAGUCACUUGGUGAAGUUAGGUUGAUUCUGUCUAUGUUAAUUAUGUAUAUGAA